UGCCAGCAGACGCGGUAAUACGGAGGGGGUUGGCGUUGUUCGGAAUGUACUGGGCGUAGAGCGCACGUAGGCGGACUGGAAAGUUGGGGGUGAAAUCCCAGGGCUCAACCCUGGAACUGCCUCCAAAACUAUCAGUCUAGAGUUCGAGAGAGGUGAGUGGAAUUCCGGGUGUAGAGGUGAAAUUCGUAGAUAUUCGGAGGAACACCAGUGGCGAAGGCGGCUCACUGGCUCGAUACUGACGCUGAGGUGCGAAAGUGUGGGGAGCAAACAGGAUUAGAUA
rnacentral:rRNA from 1 species